rnacentral:rRNA from 1 species
AGUCAACAUGCCCAGGGGACGUGGAUAACCUCGGGAAACUGAGGAUAAACCGCGAUAGGUCAUUACUUCUGGAAUGGGUAAUGACUUAAACCUAUAUGGCCCCUGGAUUGGACUGCGGCCGAUCAGGCUGUUGGUGAGGUAAUGGCCCACCAAACCUGUAACCGGUACGGGCUCUGAGAGGAGGAGCCCGGAGAUGGGCACUGAGACAAGGGCCCAGGCCCUAUGGGGCGCAGCAGGCGCGAAACCUCUGCAAUAGGCGAAAGCUUGACAGGGUUACUCUGAGUGAUUUCCGUUAAGGAGAUCUUUUGGCACCUCUAAAAAUGGUGCGGAAUAAGGGGUGGGCAAGUCUGGUGUCAGCCGCCGCGGUAAUACCAGCACCCCGAGUGGUCGGGACGUCUAUUGGGCCUAAAGCAUCCGUAGCCGGUUCUACAAGUCUUCCGUUAAAUCCACCUGCUUAACAGAUGGGCUGCGGAAGAUACUAUAGAGCUAGGAGGCGGGAGAGGCAAGCGGUACUCGAUGGGUAGGGGUAAAAUCCGUUGAUCCAUUGAAGACCACCAGUGGCGAAGGCGGCUUGCCAGAACGCGCUCGACGGUGAGGGAUGAAAGCUGGGGGAGCAAACCGGAUUAGAUACCCGGGUAGUCCCAGCUGUAAACGAUGCAGACUCGGUGAUGAGUUGGCUUAUUGCUAACUCAGUGCCGCAGGGAAGCCGUUAAGUUUGCCGCCUGGGGAGUACGGUCGCAAGACUGAAACUUAA